AAAAAAUCUCUCAUUUCCGAUGCCAAUAGAUUUUCUUAUUUCGAAAUAAAGGUUCUUGUCUUGUGGGGAACGAUGCACAAAUUUUUGGAAUCCAGUACCAACAGGUAUAAUCCUCUCAGAACUGUGUUUUCUUUCAAGACCUUCAAUCAAUCAAUGCGAUCUCGUAGGGCAGUUUUUGCUAAAACUCGAGUAGUUUCUUGA
rnacentral:rRNA from 1 species